UACGUAGGGUGCAAGCGUUGUCCGGAAUUAUUGGGCGUAAAGAGCUCGUAGGCGGUCUGUCGCGUCGGCUGUGAAAACCUGGGGCUCAACCCCGGGCCUGCAGCCGAUACGGGCAGACUAGAAUUCGGUAGGGGAGACUGGAAUUCCUGGUGUAGCGGUGAAAUGCGCAGAUAUCAGGAGGAACACCGGUGGCGAAGGCGGGUCUCUGGGCCGUAACUGACGCUGAGGAGCGAAAGCAUGGGGAGCGAACAGG
rnacentral:rRNA from 1 species